CUUCUCAAAUGCAUUUUUUAUGGAUUCCAGUGAGUGGCCAGUGACUAUUGCCCUGUUCCUCCUUUUUCUCAGUCUUCUCUAUUGAAUGUGGCAUCAAACAUCCCAAACCUUUGCCCUUUUUGGGGAACAUUUUUCUAUUUCGUGAGGGUUUCUUUAAUGCUUUGACGGAUCUCAUAAAAACACAUGGACGAGUUUGUGGGUAUUACCUGGGACGCAGACCGGUGGUGGUGAUCGCUGACCCUGAUAUGCUUAAAGAGGUGUUGGUCCGAGACUUCAGCAAUUUCCCCAACAGAAAUACUUUUCGAAUCGCCAUCAAGCCCAUGAGAGACUCUCUGCUGUUGUUAAGGAAUGAACAGUGGAAAAGAGUCCGGAGCAUCCUUACACCUUCUUUUAGUGCUGCUAAAA